GAUGAAGAACGUAGCGAAAUGCGAUAAGUAAUGUGAAUUGCAGAAUUCAGUGAAUCAUCGAAUCUUUGAACGCACAUUGCGCCCGCCAGUAUUCUGGCGGGCAUGCCUGUCCGAGCGUCAUUUCAACCCUCGAACCCCUCCGGGGGGUCGGCGUUGGGGAUCGGCCCUUUACGGGGCCGGCCCCGAAAUACAGUGGCGGUCUCGCCGCAGCCUCUCCUGCGCAGUAGUUUGCACACUCGCAUCGGGAGCGCGGCGCGUCCAAUGCCGUAAAACACCCAACUUUCUGAAAUGUUGACCUCGGAUCAGGUAGGAAUACCCGCUGAACUUAAGCAUAUCAAUAAGCGGAGGA
rnacentral:misc_RNA from 1 species